rnacentral:rRNA from 1 species
GAUGAACGCUGGCGGCGUGCUUAACACGUGCAAGUCGAGCGAAGCGGUUUCAAUGAAGUUUUCGGAUGGAUUUGAGAUUGACUUAGCGGCGGACGGGUGAGUAACGCGUGGGUAACCUGCCUUACACUGGGGGAUAACAGUUAGAAAUGACUGCUAAUACCGCAUAAGCGCACAGGGCCGCAUGGUCCGGUGUGAAAAACUCCGGUGGUGUAAGAUGGACCCGCGUCUGAUUAGGUAGUUGGUGGGGUAACGGCCCACCAAGCCGACGAUCAGUAGCCGACCUGAGAGGGUGACCGGCCACAUUGGGACUGAGACACGGGCCCAAACUCCUACGGGAGGCAGCAGUGGGGAAUAUUGGACAAUGGGCGAAAGCCUGAUCCAGCGACGCCGCGUGAGUGAAGAAGUAUUUCGGGUAUGUAAAGCUCUAUCAGCAGGGAAGAAAAUGAC